AUACGGAGGGUGCGAGCGUUAAUCGGAAUUACUGGGCGUAAAGCGUACGUAGGCGGUUGGUUAAGUUAGAUGUGAAAGCCCCGGGCUUAACUUGGGAACUGCAUUUGAAACUGGGUAACUAGAGUUUAGUAGAGGGGAGUGGAAUUUCAGGUGUAGCGGUGAAAUGCGUAGAGAUCUGAAGGAACACCAGUGGCGAAGGCGACUCCCUGGACUAAAACUGACGCUGAGGUACGAAAGCGUGGGUAGCAAACAGGAUUAGAAACCCCGGUAGUCC
rnacentral:rRNA from 1 species